ACACUGUCCUGGCGGAUGGAGGCUACAGGAAGGUACUUUUUCCCAGGGCAGAGGCUCAUCCAUUGUACUGAGAGUGUUCGACCCCUGAGGUUUCCCCAACUGUGGGAAACUCGGCUGCAUAAUUGAUGGUAAUGGAGAACUGGUUUCCCCUGGUUUUGU